GAGGUUUUGGCCUCUCUGGCUUUGGUGGCCGCUACUAUGGCAGAAGGUGCCUGCCCUGCUAAAGCUCACGAGGACGUCCAGUGAGUGCAUUGACCACGAAGCCCAAAGCCCGGUGCCGGACUGAGGACAGAGCUGCUGGCCAGAGUUUCCAGAAGGGCUGAACACCCUCGUGGCCUCCUGCAGAGCAGAGAGGGAAGCCAGGGUGCCAGCCUGCGCUGUCUGGAAACACGGCCAGCAGACAUCUUCUUCUUCUCCCACUUUGUUCUCUGCAUCAUGAGUCCUUGUUUUCUGCUGCUGUUCUGUGUCAUGAGUUCAUCUGGAAGCAAGUCAAGAGCAUCCUCUUUGUUCUUCCUCUGGCCAUGUAAGGGAGGAAGAAGUGCUUCCCAUGGUGGUGAAGGGGGGUCUGACUGACAGCUGUCCUUGUGGCAGCGUGGGCUGGAUCCUUUCCUCCAUGUGCUGCUUUGAUUCCUUCUUCAGACUCAUUAAAGUUUUUGCUUCAAAGUAAUCUGAGUCUCCUUAUGUUCCUUUUCUAUUGGGAUGCUCCGUGAAGAUGUACAGGGAGAAAUGUGAUGUCUUGGAGUGGUAAAACAUGGGUGGAUAU
ensembl:lncRNA